rnacentral:tRNA from 1 species
AAGAAUUUAAGUUAAAUAAACUAAUAGCCUUCAAAGCUAUAAAUGAAACAAAGUCUCAAUUCUUG